CGUCUCUCUGUGCUGACAGAUCAGGAGAUGCCGCAGUCUAUGAUGUCAGACAGGCAGGCAAACAGCCCUGGGGGACAGUCCCUGCUCCUUCCCUUCCUAAGACCGGAACGCCGGGAAUUAUGUCACUUUGCAAAGGACUGGAAGCCUCUUGGGGUGUCCUUGGCGAGACUGCAAGUUUCUGUGGAGAGGGAGGCCACGACCCAGCUCAGGAUAAGCAGAGGAAGAUGGCUGAAUGGAGAUCAAUGUCUCUAUAAUCACAAUUUAAAAGAUAUUGUGACAAAAAAGUAGAAUAUCUCUUAAAAUUUCACUAAAUGAUUGCUUUUUGCUACUUUAGACUCUAUCUAAAAAUACAUAUGCAGACAUUUCAAUUGUUUAUACAAAUGAUUAAGCAAUAUUUUAAAAGAAGUGACAUUUACUCAGCAAAAACUAUAUCUUAAGAAAGUAAAAAUACCCAAAAUGUCUUAUUUUCUGUCUUGAAAGAAAAAUAAUCUUAUAAAGAAAGGUUUUCACUGGCAAAAUCAUCUUAGUUUGAGAAAACAUGUCAUAGUGACUGACAUGUUUUUCUUCAAAUUUGAAUUCUUAGUAAGAAUUUUUGCUUAUUUAAAGAAAUAUGUCAAUGGGGUAAAUAUUUUUUACUUAUUUCAAUGAGGCCUGUUUCUGAAGUGUAUCUAAAUGCAUUAAAGUCACAUUUUGCAUGAACUGCUAAGUCGGAUUUUACAGCUGAGUUAUUUUAUAGUGCUGUAGCCAUUUCCCUAAGUGGCAGGAGGGAUAUCAUGGACAAUAGUAAGAGUACACUGCCCUAAUAAAUCAUUUUACACAAAAGAAAGCACACACACCUGCGUACACACACCUGGACAUGCGUUUACACACUUCAUUCUUGCUUUUUCCGAGCCCCGCCCAGCAUAGAACAAGAAGUGCAUGACGGUGCUCUCUUGGACACGAGGAUUUAAUAGGUGACCCUGGCUGCAUGCUGGGUCCCCCGCUGCCUUGGCUCAUCCAGCUGUAAAAUAAGGCCCAGGCAGGACCUGGCUGAUAAUGAGAACUGGCAUUUUGCUCAAGAUAACCUCAGGAAAAUCGCUUCUAUAAAUACCUUCUAUAAAUAAAAGUCUACCUUGGCCCAAGACUGCGUCAGGGUCUCUCUCUGAAAAGGUCACUUAUUGCCCUGUUUUCACCACAACUCACCAUGGUCUCGUUUCCUUCUUCCAAAGUACUUUUCACUUUAGGUCCUCUUGUAACUUUUUUUUUUCAUUUUUUUUUUUUUUUCCCACAAGCUUUUUGCUUCAACUGCUGAAGAGACACUGUUGUAUUACAGAUGUCCUGAGACCUAUGAAAUGCUCUUUCAAUGUUGAGUUAUUUUGUACAUCCUGCACCAGUCAAUUGACAAAUCUUAACUUUUGGAAAGAGUUGUGGAGGCACAAAUUUUCACCUACAAAUUUGCAAUU